AGUGAACGCUGGCGGUAGGCCUAACACAUGCAAGUCGAACGGCAGCACAGUAAGCGCUUGCUCUUACGGGUGGCGAGUGGCGGACGGGCGAGGAAUACAUCGGAAUCUACUUUUUCGUGGGGAUAACGUAGGGACACUUACGCUAAUACCGCAUACGACCUACGGGUGAAAGCAGAGGAUCUUCGGACCUUGCGCGAUUGAAUGAGCCGAUGUCGGAUUAGCUAGUUGGCGGGGUAAAGGCCCACCACGGCGACGAUCCGUAGCUGGUCUGAGAGGAUGAUCAGACACACUGGAACUGAGACACGGUCAAGACUCCUACGGGAGGCAGCAGUGGGGAAUAUUGGAAAAUGGGCGAAAGCCUGAUCCAGACAUACCGCGUGGGUGAAGAAGGCCUUCGGGUUGAAAAGCCCUUUUGUUGGGAAAGAAAAGCAGCAGGUUAAUACCCAGCUGUUCUGACGGUACCCAAAGAAUAAGCACCGGCUAACUUCGUG
rnacentral:rRNA from 1 species